GAGCGGACAGAUGGGAGCUUGCUCCCUGAUGUUAGCGGCGGACGGGUGAGUAACACGUGGGUAACCUGCCUGUAAGACUGGGAUAACUCCGGGAAACCGGGGCUAAUACCGGAUGGUUGUUUGAACCGCAUGGUUCAAACAUAAAAGGUGGCUUCGGCUACCACUUACAGAUGGACCCGCGGCGCAUUAGCUAGUUGGUGAGGUAACGGCUCACCAAGGCAACGAUGCGUAGCCGACCUGAGAGGGUGAUCGGCCACACUGGGACUGAGACACGGCCCAGACUCCUACGGGAGGCAGCAGUAGGGAAUCUUCCGCAAUGGACGAAAGUCUGACGGAGCAACGCCGCGUGAGUGAUGAAGGUUUUCGGAUCGUAAAGCUCUGUUGUUAGGGAAGAACAAGUACCGUUCGAAUAGGGCGGUACCUUGACGGUACCUAACCAGAAAGCCACGGCUAACUACGUGCCAGCAGCCGCGGUAAUACGUAGGUGGCAAGCGUUGUCCGGAAUUAUUGGGCGUAAAGGGCUCGCAGGCGGUUUCUUAAGUCUGAUGUGAAAGCCCCCGGCUCAACCGGGGAGGGUCAUUGGAAACUGGGGAACUUGAGUGCAGAAGAGGAGAGUGGAAUUCCACGUGUAGCGGUGAAAUGCGUAGAGAUGUGGAGGAACACCAGUGGCGAAAGCGACUCUCUGGUCUGUAACUGACGCUGAGGAGCGAAAGCGUGGGGAGACGAACAGGAUUAAAUACCCUGGUAGUCCACCCCCGUAAACGAUGAGUGUCCUAAUUGUUAGGGGUUUCCCCCCCUUAUUGGCUCGCC
rnacentral:rRNA from 2 species